UUCCCUUAGUAACUGCGAGUGAACUGGGAAAAGCUCAAAUUUGAAAUCUGGCAGUUUUUACUGUCCGAAUUGUAAUCUAGAGAAGUGCUUACCUGUGCUGGACCAUGUACAAGUCUCUUGGAAUGGAGUAUCACAGAGGGUGAGAAUCCCGUCUUUGACAUGGACUACCAGUGCUUUAUGGUGUGCUCUCAAAGAGUCGAGUUGUUUGGGAUUGCAGCUCAAAAUGGGUGGUAAAUGCCAUCUAAAGCUAAAUAUUGGCGAGAGACCGAUAGCGAACAAGUACCGUGAGGGAAAGAUGAAAAGAACUUUGGAAAGAGAGUUAAACAGUACGUGAAAUUGCUGAAAGGGAAACGCUUGAAGUCAGUCACAUUGGCUGGAAAUCAACCUUGCUUUUGCUUGGUGUACUUUCUGGUUGAUGGGUCAGCAUCAAUUUUGACUGCUGGAUAAAGUCUUUGGGAAUGUGGCAUCUUUUGGAUGUGUUAUAGCCCAUUGUCACAUACAGUAGUUGGGAUUGAGGAACUCAGCACGCCUUUCAAAAGGUCGGGUUUUAUUUAAACCACGUUCGUGCUUAGGAUGCUGGCAUAAUGGCUUUAAUCGACCCGUCUUGAAACACGGACCAAGGAGUCUAACAUUCAUGCGAGUGUUUGGGUGGAAAACCCAUGCGCGUAAUGAAAGUGAAAAGUUGAGAUCCCUUCAAAAGAGGGGAGCAUUGACGCCCAGACCAGACCUUUUGUGACGGAUCUGCGGUAGAGCAUGUGUGUUGGGACCCGAAAGAUGGUGAACUAUGCCUGAAUAGGGUGAAGCCAGAGGAAACUCUGGUGGAGGCUCGUAGCGAUUCUGACGUGCAAUCGAUCGUCAAAUUUGGGUAUAGGGGCGAAAGA
rnacentral:rRNA from 1 species